AUUAUAAGUAAAAUUUAAUUUUCUAAAAAGACAAUCAACAAGCUAAAUAAAAUUAAAAAUCAAAAAAAGGAUUAGAUACCCUUGUAUAUUUAACUGACAAGGGAUUCAACCUUUAUAUCCUGGCGGCACCUAUCUAAUUAGAGGAACCUGUUUAUAAAUCGACAACCCACGUUAAAUCUCACUUUUAAAAAAAAUCUUAUAUACCCCCGUCUAGAAUAGAUUAAAAAUUUUUAUUCUUAAAACUGUCUAAAAAAAUAGGUAACGGUGUAGACUAUACAAAAGAUUAAAUGGGUUACUUAUAAGAACUACUCAAGGCCCCAAAUAAACUAUUUUAAAAAUAAGGAUUUAAAAGUAAUUUAAAAAUAAUAAUUUUUAAUAAAUUUAAUUAUAGAUGUGUACAUAUCGCCCGUCACCCUAAUCACAA
rnacentral:rRNA from 1 species